rnacentral:lncRNA from 1 species
CAGCUCAAACACAGACAGAUCUUCUAGAGCCGAGGGAAUUUCUUUUCGCAGAAGCCAUUACUCCCCCCGAGAGAAGGCUGCAAAGCUGGGAAGCCCAGGGUGUGCUCCUCCCGCCCUUUUGGACCCCCGGGCUUGCACCGGCUGCACUCUGAGAACCAGCUGCGCGCGGAGCGGUGCAAUGCAGCACCCACCCUGCGAGCCUGGCAAUUGCUUGUCAUUAAAAGAAAAAAAAAUUACGGAGGGCUCCGGGGGUGUGUGUUGGGGAGGGGAGACCGAUGCUUCUAACCCAGCCCCCGCUUUGACUGCGUGUUGUGCAGCUGAGCGCGAGGCCAACGUUGAGCAAGGCCUUGCAAGGAGGUUGCUCCUGUGUAAUUCCGAAAGAAGGCUAGUCCGAAGGUGCAAAAUAGCAGAGAGAGGACGCGCCCCCUUAGGAACAAGACCUCUGGAUGUUUCCAGUUUCAAAUUGAAAGAAGAGGGGCG